rnacentral:rRNA from 1 species
GAAACUUAAAGGAAUUGACGGGGCCGCACAAGCGGUGGAGCAUGUGGUUUAAUUCGACGCAACGCGAAGAACCUUACCAGGGCUUGACAUCCCCUGACCGCGUAUGAAAGUACGUUUUCACCCUCGGGUGACAGGGAGACAGGUGGUGCAUGGUUGUCGUCAGCUCGUGUCGUGAGAUGUUGGGUUAAGUCCCGCAACGAGCGCAACCCCUACGUUUAGUUGCUAACGCGUGAAGGCGAGCACUCUAGACGAACUGCCGUUGACAAAACGGAGGAAGGUGGGAUGACGUCAAAUCAUCAUGCCCCUUAUGUUCUGGGCUACACACGUGCUACAAUGGCCGGUACAGACGGACGCAAAGCCGCGAGGUGGAGCAAAUCCUAAAAAGCCGGUCUCAGUUCGGAUUGCAGGCUGCAAUUCGCCUGCAUGAAGUCGGAAUCGCUAGUAAUCGCAGGUCAGCAUACUGCGGUGAAUACGUUCCCGGGCCUU